CUAACAAUAAAUUAUAUAUUUUUUUAUUAUGGUUUUAACUUUUGUAUUUUUUUAUUUUUAAAUUUUUAAAGAAACUUUUUAUUUUUUGGACAACUGAAGUUUUUAUGUUUGCAUAUACAAUUAAAGCGGUAUUUAAAUUAGUUGACAUUUUUUCUAACUUUAUUGCAAAGUUGGGUCUUUGUAUUUCUUGCCAAUAAAUAUUUUUAUCUAUUAAACCAGGUAGGUUUUGUGAAAACGAGACUGUGCUUGUCAUUAUAAAUAUAAAAUAUGUAAAAUAAAAAAAUGCAUAAAAUAAUAAAAAACAACUAUAGUUAAAACAAUAAUAUUCUGAUUUAAUUUUUUUUUUCAAAAGCAACCCAGUAAACACAGAUUGGUUCAGAAAUGGUUUGAAAUAUACAUUUGAAGUGUAUAUUUCAAACUUUUUAUAUAUAAGUUUACUAAACGUCGAUCUAACGUUUAGAAUAUCGACUAACAUUAAACAAUAUUAUAAACCUUUAAUAGACCUUAAUUAAACUAAACAUUUAAAGAUUUAAAAUAUACGCUUUAAAUCUUUUAAUAUUUAUAUUUAUUAAACGUCAAUCAAACGUUUACAAUAUUGACUAAGAUAAGUCGUUGGCUAAAUAAUUAAAUUAGACUUAAAUGCGUUUUCAAGAUUCACCUCCUUACAGCAACUCAAAGCAAAACGAUUGAUAAAUAAAUAAUAAACAAGUAUCGGGUGCGCUAUUUUAUUUCAUGAAAGUUAAAUAGCUCUUAUUGCGACAAUCUACCUUCCUAAAUCCCAACAAAUCAAUAAACUCCGAUGUUUUAGAAAUUAUUGAUGACGACUUUGACACAGUUAAAAAAUAUAAGUUGCUGCUCUCUCGUUAUAAAAGUCGUGCGGCAAGAGCAUUUUUUGUAAGUUUUGUAAACAGUUUAAAUACAUUUUGUAAACGCUAGUAUGGUUGUGUAAAAGUAGGAACAGAGCUGGUAAAAACCACUGCAUAUGUUAUGUCACGACGUUACUAGUUUUUUAUUGUCAAAAAUAAACAUGGAUGGUACAGGAAAUUUUAGAAAACUUCCAUUCAGAAAAUCCUAUAUAUUUCAGGUUACGAAAUCAGACGAUUAGGGUACGAAUGUAGAAGAUGA